GCCCAGAUAGCUCAGUUGGUAGAGCACGCCCUUGGUAAGGGCGAGGUCGACAGUUCGAAUCUGUUUCUGGGCU
rnacentral:tRNA from 1 species